AUCAACCGAGAUUCCCCCAGUAGCGGCGAGCGAACGGGGAGCAGCCCAGAGUCUGAAUCAGCUUGUGUGUUAGUGGAACGGUCUGGAAAGUCCGACGGUACAGGGUGAUAGUCCCGUACACCAAAAUGCACAGGUUGUGAACUCGAAGAGUAGGGCGGGACACGUGGUAUCCUGUCUGAAUAUGGGGGGACCAUCCUCCAAGGCUAAAUACUCCUGACUGACCGAUAGUGAACCAGUACCGUGAGGGAAAGGCGAAAAGAACCCCGGCGAGGGGAGUGAAAAAGAACCUGAAACCGUGUACGUACAAGCAGUGGGAGCACCUUUAUGGUGUGACUGCGUACCUUUUGUAUAAUGGGUCAGCGACUUAUAUUCUGUAGCAAGGUUAACCGUAUAGGGGAGCCGCAGGGAAACCGAGUCUUAACUGGGCGUUAAGUUGCAGGGUAUAGACCCGAAACCCGGUGAUCUAGCCAUGGGCAGGUUGAAGGUUGGGUAACACUAACUGGAGGACCGAACCGACUAAUGUUGAAAAAUUAGCGGAUGACUUGUGGCUGGGGGUGAAAGGCCAAUCAAACCGGGAGAUAGCUGGUUCUCCCCGAAAGCUAUUUAGGUAGCGCCUCGUGAA
rnacentral:rRNA from 1 species